rnacentral:rRNA from 1 species
CCUACGGGUGGCAGCAGUGGGGAAUAUUGCACAAUGGGGGAAACCCUGAUGCAGCGACGCCGCGUGCGUGAGGAAGUAUUUCGGUAUGUAAAGCUCUAUCAGCAGGGAAGAAAAUGACGGUACCUGACUAAGAAGCCCCGGCUAACUACGUGCCAGCAGCCGCGGUAAUACGUAGGGGGCAAGCGUUAUCCGGAUUUACUGGGUGUAAAGGGAGCGUAGACGGCUAAUCAAGUCAGAAGUGAAAACCCAGGGCUCAACUUUGGGACUGCUUUGGAAACUGUGUAACUGGAGUACAGGAGGGGCAGGCGGAAUUCCUGGUGUAGCGGUGAAAUGCGUAGAUAUCAGGAGGAACACCGGCGGCGAAGGCGGCCUGCUGGACUGAAACUGACGUUGAGGCUCGAAAGCGUGGGGAGCAAACAGGAUUAGAUACCCGAGUAGUC